AUUGAACGCUGGCGGCAGGCCUAACACAUGCAAGUCGAGCGGAGCGGCGGACGGGUGAGUAAUGCAUAGGAAUCUGCCUGGUCGUGGGGGAUAACGUCCGGAACCGGGCGCUAAUAUCGCAUACUAUCAGAUGAGCCUAGGUCGGAUUGGCUAGUUGGUGGGGUAAAGGCCUACCAAGGCGACGAUCCGUAACUGGGCUGAGAGGAUGAUCAGUCACACUGGAACUGAGAUACGGUCCAGACCCCAAUGGGAGGCGGGAGUGGGGAAUAUUGGACAAGGGGCGAAAGCCUGAUCCAGCCAUGCCGCGUAUGUGAAGAAGGGCUUCGGAUUGUAAAGCACUUUAAGUUGGGAGGCGGUACCAACAGAAUAAGCACCGGCUAACUUCGUGCCAGCAGCCGCGGUAAUAC
rnacentral:rRNA from 1 species